rnacentral:misc_RNA from 1 species
UGGAGCAACAGUUCUGCGUGAAGCGGGUCAGGGGAGGAAUCCAGCAGCCCUAAGCGAUGUGAAUUGUGUGCUCUUUUUUCGUGCUUUUUUCGAAUAAAUAAGAUAAAAUAGCCUAGAAUAAAUGAUAAUAGAAAAGAGAAAAAUAUGAAAAUUCGUGGUUUUGAAUUGGUUUCGAGUUUUACAG